rnacentral:rRNA from 1 species
UACGAAGGGGGCUAGCGUUGCUCGGAAUCACUGGGCGUAAAGGGCGCGUAGGCGGCGUUUUAAGUCGGGGGUGAAAGCCUGUGGCUCAACCACAGAAUGGCCUUCGAUACUGGGACGCUUGAGUAUGGUAGAGGUUGGUGGAACUGCGAGUGUAGAGGUGAAAUUCGUAGAUAUUCGGAAGAACACCAGUGGCGAAGGCGACUCACUGGACACGUAUUGACGCUGAGGUGCGAAAGCGUGGGUAGCAAACAGG